UCCAAGGAAGGCUCAGUGGUUAGAGCACCUGCUUUGCAUGCAGAAGGUCCUGGAUUCCGUUUCUGGGGAUUCAGCCCCAGGGAA